CUUCUGCUACUGAUCUUCAUUCUGUGGCCUGAUACUCAGGUUACGAACAUUCCUAACUCAUCUACUCGUUCACAUGCAUCAGAAAGUGAAAAUCGCACUAGAAAUUGCAGCACAAAUUGCAAGUGUAAACGGGCCUUAACACCCAAACGUAGCUAACUUCCAAAUUCCUAGCUAGUAAAUGUAGAUAGAUGAGCAACGAUAAGCAAUUGAUAAUUGCGAGCAUUAAACAGUCUGUGUUAUUAAUAGCCUGAUGUGAACUUGUUGUUUCAGUUUCC
rnacentral:lncRNA from 1 species